rnacentral:rRNA from 1 species
UGGGUAACGUGCCCCGAUGACCGGGAUAACCCGAGGAAACUCGGGCUAAUACCGGAUGUUUUUGCACGGCCGUAAGGCUGUGUAGAAAAGGAAGCUUCGGCCUCCGCAUCGGGAGCGGCCCGCGGCCCAUUAGCUUGUUGGUGAGGUAAAGGCUCACCAAGGCAACGAUGGGUAGCUGGUCUGAGAGGAUGGCCAGCCACAUUGGGACUGAGACACGGCCCAGACUCCUACGGGGAGGCAG